rnacentral:rRNA from 1 species
GAUGAACGCUGGCGGCGUGCCUAAUACAUGCAAGUCGAGCGAACGGACGAGAUCCUUUCUUGUCUGAUUUUAGCGGCGGACGGGUGAGUCACACGUGUAUAACCUACCUAUCCGACUGGGAUACCAUUGGGAAACCGUAUCUACUACCGGAUAAUAUUUUGAACUUCGUGGUUCACACGUUAAAGACGCUCUUUCUGUCACUUAUAGCUGUAUCCGCGCUGCAUUCGUUAGUUGGUAAGGUAGCUGCUUACCAACGCAAGGAGGCAUACCCGACCUGAACGGGUGAUCGGCCACACGGGAACUGAGCCAGGUCCCAGACUCCUGCGGGAGGAAGCAGCAGGGACUCUUACGCAAGGGGCGAAAGCCUGACGGUGCAACGUCGCGUGAGUCAUGAAGGUCUUCGGCUCGUAAAGCUAUGUUAUUCGGGAAGAACAUAUGUGUAAGUACCUGUGAACAUCUUGACGGUACCUAAUCAGAAAGCCACGGCUAACUACGUG